CGCGUAGGCGGCAAGGCAAGUCAGAUGUGAAAUCCCCGGGCUCAACCCUGGGAAUUGCAUCUGAAACUGCAGUGCUUGAGUCCUGGAGGGGAUAGUGGAAUUCCCAGUGUAGCGGUGAAAUGCGUAGAUAUUGGGAGGAACACCUGCGGCGAAGGCGGCUAUCUGGACAGUGACUGACGCUGAUGCGCGAAAGCCAGGGGAGCGAACGG
rnacentral:rRNA from 1 species